GACGAACGCUGGCGGCGUGCUUAACACAUGCAAGUCGAGCGGAAAGGCCCUUCGGGGUACUCGAGCGGCGAACGGGUGAGUAACACGUGGGUAACCUGCCUCAGACUCUGGGAUAAACUCCGGGAAACCGGGGCUAAUACUGGAUAUGACCACUAACCGCAUGGUUUGGUGGUGGAAAGUUUUUCGUCUGAGAUGGCCCGCGGCCUAUCAGCUUGUUGGUGGGGUGAUGGCCUACCAAGGCGACGACGGGUAGGCCGGCCUGAGAGGGCGACCGGCCACACUGGGACUGAGACACGGCCCAGACUCCUACGGGAGGCAGCAGUGGGGAA
rnacentral:rRNA from 1 species